UCUUUGUUGCUGCAAUUGAUAGAAUAGGAUGGAAACUUGUUCAGUCAUAUGUGAUUGUGAUAUUGUGAGAUUUAUCCAAAUAAUAUUUAAUGAGCAAGCUGAUAAUUGAUGGAGGCAUUUGCUAUGAUUUUUUGUCAGCGAGGAGUGAUAUUAUUGAAGAACUAUAGUAUCUUAAAUGUUAAUCUUCUCAAUUUUCUCUUGCUAUGGAAGUAUCCUUUUCAGUUCUGUAACCUUUUUCAUUCAUCUUCUGAUAAAGACAUGGUUACUUUAUGGAAGUAUCCUUUUCAAUUUUGUUUGAGAUAAUUAUACUGAUUUGCUAUUGGCUGCUUAGGCUUGUGAAAAGAUGAUGUCCAGAAUUGGUGGUUCUGUUAGUGGGGGCAAUUGGAAAUAUGCACAUGGAACUGCAUAUUAUGGUCAAAACUUUUCACUCAAAUGGCUGAAGAAAAAUUGAGGGGUGAUGGACAUGACAAAUCUUUAACAAAUUCAGGUCGAGACGAUAAUUUCAACAACUAAAGUGAGCAUCGGUGAAUAAAAUGUGUCUUACCAGAGGAAAAAAGAUCCUACGAUGACAGUAGCUCAUACCUUAUAUGAUAAUAUAAUCUUGGACACUUGGUGAAUUUUGUUUGUAUUUUGAGGGUUAUUUUGUGUUGUGC